rnacentral:rRNA from 1 species
ACUUCGGUGGAUUUGAUCUAUUUCUAGUGGCGGACGGGUGAGUAACGCGUGGGUAACCUGCCUUAUACAGGGGGGUAACAGUCAGAAAUGGCUGCUAAUACCGCAUAAGCGCACAGAGCUGCAUGGCUCAGUGUGAAAAACUCCGGUGGUAUAAGAUGGACCCGCGUUGGAUUAGCUGGUUGGUGGGGUAACGGCCCACCAAGGCGACGAUCAGUAGCCGGCUUGAGAGAGUGAUCGGCCACAUUGGGACUGAGACACGGCCCAAACUCC